UGGGGAAUAUUGGACAAUGGGCGCAAGCCUGAUCCAGCCAUGCCGCGUGAGUGACGAAGGUCUUCGGAUUGUAAAGCUCUUUUUGGCGGGGACGAUAAUGACGGUACCCGCAGAAUAAGCCCCGGCUAACUUCGUGCCAGCAGCCGCGGUAAUACGAAGGGGGCUAGCGUUGUUCGGAAUUACUGGGCGUAAAGCGCACGUAGGCGGACUCUUAAGUCAGGGGUGAAAUCCCGGGGCUCAACCUCGGAACUGCCCUUGAUACUGUGAGUCUCGAGACCGGAAGAGGUGAGUGGAAUUCCUAGUGUAGAGGUGAAAUUCGUAGAUAUUAGGAAGAACACCAGUGGCGAAGGCGGCUCACUGGUCCGGUUCUGACGCUGAGGUGCGAAAGCGUGGGGAGCAAACAGGAUUAGAUACCCGCGUAGUCCCUGAGCGGGCUGGCAAGGCGCAU
rnacentral:rRNA from 1 species